rnacentral:rRNA from 1 species
UCUCGGCAACGGAUAUCUUGGCUCUCGCAUCGAUGAAGAACGUAGCGAAAUGCGAUACUUGGUGUGAAUUGCAGAAUCCCGUGAACCAUCGAGUCUUUGAACGCAAGUUGCGCCCGAGGCUAUCCGGCCGAGGGCACGCCUGCCUGGGCGUCACGCCUAGCGUCGCUCCGCGC